GAUUGUGUGUGCGUACAUGGAUUACAAUCGCAGAAUUGUUUAGAUACAGAUGUAUCUACACACUAAAAAGCGUCUACAUACAUGUGUAUGUAGAUAAAUGCGUGUCAAUUAAGAACGUAGAGAAUUUCAGUUAAUGGCUGAUGAAAUUUAUCGAUAGAAAACUCAUCAUAAUCACUAUAAAUAGACAACGCUGCAAACCUUUUGGCUUACCACACCUCAAGUUAUUCAAUUCAAGCUUUCACAAUGGCCUGCAAGAUAGCACUAGUAGUCGUGUCUCUAUCGGUGUUAGCAUUCUUCCUAUGCCUUGGUACUGCCGAAGCUGACCCGCAGUGCAUGUUCAAGAUCAACCCUUACUAUCAUGGUGGGUGCAAGAUAGAUUCUGAUUCUGAUAACGAGAAAUGUCGAAUUGCUUGUACCAGAUUUGAGGGACCAACGUACAGAUAUGGUGUAUGCUCUAAUGAACUAUGCUUCUGCUCUAACUGUCAAUGAUCAUCGGACACUUCUAUCGGUGGGGGUGCCAUGAAGAUACAUCACCGCCAUGGGAAGAUUAGAGCUCCUAGGAAGAUUGCUUUUUUUAUUGUUGUAUGAGAAUAAAUUGGCGAUGUAUCUAAAUAUACUUUAGCAAGUAUACGUUUCCGAA